UCUGCAUGAUAUUUUCAUGGAGUGGAUGCAUUUGGUGGAGUGCCACUUCUGGGCUCAGUCCACCAGCAUGACAGGUGGGCUAGGACUGUGAUGCAGAACUGUGAUGACCAGCUGUGGCAGCAGAACUUCAGGAAGCAGAAGUAUUGCUGGAGAUCUUUGCAAAGCUCACUCCGGACUGCAGCAGUAGAACACCAACAUGAGAGUUCCAUUCAAUGUGGAGAAGCAUGUGACCAUCUGGAAGCUCUCCAUCCUUGCUUGCAAAUUCUCCACAGCUUUGAGAGGUUACUAGUUUUGGGAGAAGAGUUGAAAAAGCCCCAAGCAGAUUCUUUACAUAUUUACUCUGCAUCAAAUUCUGAACCAUAGAAAUGUCGUUGCAACACGUAAGUUCCUUUGUGGAUCCGGGCCAGGGUGUAUCACGAAUGAGGUGGGAGAUUCCAGGAAGAGAAAAGAGUCUCAUGGUGAAGACAACAAUGGUGAAGAUACUGCCCUGGAGAACUGGAUUCUAUCACUGCUCCUGCCACAGUUACUAUGUGAUGC